rnacentral:rRNA from 1 species
UACGGAGGGUGCGAGCGUUGUCCGGAAUUACUGGGCGUAAAGCGCACGUAGGCGGAUUUGUAAGUCAGGGGUGAAAUCCCGGGGCUCAACCUCGGAACUGCCUUUGAUACUGCAAAUCUCGAGUCCGGAAGAGGUGAGUGGAAUUCCUAGUGUAGAGGUGAAAUUCGUAGAUAUUAGGAAGAACACCAGUGGCGAAGGCGGCUCACUGGUCCGGUACUGACGCUGAGGUGCGAAAGCGUGGGGAGCAAACAGG